GCACUGGUGAUUCAGUGGUAGAAUUCUCGCCUCCCAGGCAGGAGACCCAGGUUUGACUCCGGGUCAGUGCC
rnacentral:tRNA from 1 species